rnacentral:rRNA from 1 species
AAUCAACGCUGGCGGCGUGCCUAACACAUGCAAGUCGCACGAGAAAGGGUCUUCGGAUCUGAGUAAAGUGGCGCACGGGUGAGUAACACGUGAAUUAUCUACCUUCGAGUGGGGAAUAACUUCGGGAAACCGAGGCUAAUACCGCAUAAUAUCUACGGAUCAAAGCAGUAAUGCGCUUGAAGAGGAGUUCGCGGCAGAUUAGUUAGUUGGCGGGGUAAUGGCCCACCAAGACGAUGAUCUGUAUCCGGCCUGAGAGGGCGCACGGACACACUGGAACUGAAACACGGUCCAGACUCCUACGGGAGGCAGCAGUGGGGAAUUUUGCGCAAUGGGGGAAACCCUGACGCGGCAACGCCGCGUGGAGGAUGAAGGCUCUUGGGACGUAAACUCCUUUCGAUAGGGAAGAUUAUGACGGUACCUAUAGAAGAAGCCCCGGCUAACUUCGUGCCAGCAGCCGCCGUAA